rnacentral:rRNA from 1 species
CCUACGGGGGGCAGCAGUGGGGAAUAUUGGACAAUGGGCGAAAGCCUGAUCCUGCCAUGCCGCGUGUGUGAAGAAGGCCUUCGGGUUGUAAAGCACUUUCAGUGGGGAAGAAAGCCUUGGGGCUAAUACCCUCGAGGAAGGACAUCACCCACAGAAGAAGCACCGGCUAACUCCGUGCCAGCAGCCGCGGUAAUACGGAGGGUGCGAGCGUUAAUCGGAAUUACUGGGCGUAAAGCGCGCGUAGGCGGUCUGAUAAGCCGGUUGUGAAAGCCCCGGGCUCAACCUGGGAACGGCAUCCGGAACUGUCAGGCUAGAGUGCAGGAGAGGAAGGUAGAAUUCCCGGUGUAGCGGUGAAAUGCGUAGAGAUCGGGAGGAAUACCAGUGGCGAAGGCGGUCUUCUGGACUGACACUGACGCUGAGGUGCGAAAGCGUGGGUAGCAAACAGGAUUAGAUACCCUGGUAGUC